rnacentral:lncRNA from 13 species
GCCACUUCCUUUUUGGGUCUAUUGUGCAAACAUCAGUGUGGUGAAACAUAAAGGUUAGAAGACAUCUACUAGUGGAGCCAUCUUGUCCACUAGGUGGAUAAAGGCCUCUUCUGUAGUGGGUGCUCUCUCGUUGGCAUUAACAUGGCAUACAUAGAUUCUCACACUUUGUGCUCACUCUCAAAGGUCCACACAUCUGUUACUUCCCCAGACCUCAUUGUCCCCAGUCAUCUAAUUUAAUUCUUUUCAAGCUACUCACCUACCAGAUAUGCCAUGUUCCCUGUUCUUGAGUCUAUGGAUCCUCUUACCUUGACCCACUUUGUUUUUUUUUAUUGUACUUUAGGUUCUGGGGUACAUGUGCGGAUCACUUUUUACAGUCCCACUCUGUAUCAUUCCAUGUGGUGUUUGAAGCUCGGCCCAACAAAAGACUUUUCUCUCAACACUCUUUUCUAGCCUUGUCCUGAAUGGGGACAUGGUGCAGCUACCAUUCUCUUUUGGCUCCCAUCCAUUUACUAAACUGACCCCCCUGUGAACCAGCUUGCUGUCUUUCCUCUCCCUUUUCAGUCAGCAAAAAUGCUAUGCAGUUGAAGCAUAAGCUGAGGAUAAGGCACCAGAGAAGCAUGAGUUCUGAGCAGGCUGUUCAUGUACUUUAUGUAUGUCCUCCAGACCAGCUUGAGCCUGAUUGUGGGUGUACCACUUCCAUUAUAUGAUGGAUUGCUGCUAGAACCACCUGAAGUGAUGACGUGGUGAAUCUGAAAAUAUCCAAUUUAUGCUGAGCAGUUACGGCCACAUAGUCGCUUAAUUCCCAAGGUCAGAUGCUUAGAUCCUGCAAGGACUGAGUGGAGUUCCGGGACCUGUUUUUUGAAUGCUGUGUAGCAAUUUGCUGCAUGUAGCAUGGCUUUGCUUCUAAAUCACAAGAGUUUCUGCUGUGACUCUCCUAAUGGGCCUUGCUAAAGGCUGUACGCAAUGUCUUUAUCUACCACAGAUACCUCUGGUGGGUCAUAGAGAUCCAGUGCCAGCACUUCUAAAACCACAGGAGGAACUGCUGCAGAGUACUUUCUUUUUCUGGGCUUCAGUCAAAGUUAACAGCUUCCAACCCAACAUAAUGAAUUCCCAAGUGCAAAAUAUGCUGCUUGCAAAACCCAAGAAGACUACCAAGGUUGGGUUUCAUCCUUCAUGGCUGGGCUCAAACUCCUGGGCUUAAGGAAUCCUCUCACCUCAGCCUCCCAAGUAGUUGAGAUCACAGACACGUGUACAGCUAUGCCUCUCCAUUAGUCUCAAUGAAUUCUACCUCUGGGAUCUGGCCCCUAUCUGGAAACUGGGAAAAAUUUUGUGGCUUUCCAUUGAGGAGAAAAACCUUUGCUCUCUGCUCAUUUAUUCUUGAUUCUUUUGGAUAUACAUAAAACAAUACUCUUGUUGGCUGACAAUUUAUCUUGUCUCUAGGAACACCAUGUGUAAACCAUCGCUAUAGAUCAUUGUAAGUCAGACCGUCCUCGCUAUCAUUCUGUUUUUGCUAAGCAUACUACCCAAGAUUCUAUUAUCCCCAUUGCUUCUAGGGGGUACAGUUCUGUAACAGCAUCUCUCCUGCCAGGAGAUCAACCUACAGAGGAAAGGCAUGACCUGGGCUUGGUGGCAAUGCUGGUGUAUUCUCUGCCAGGUCAUUUCUCAUUGCCUCAAUAAACAGAACACUCUCUAGGCCCUCCUGAGGAAA